AACCGGAUGUCACGUGAUCAUGAUGACUUGUCGCUACUUCCAUUUUGUAUUUGUAUGGCGGCAAACGGCAUCACGGCAUGGCAACUUUGGGAAAGAAACAUCGCCAUUGAUAAAUUGGAUUCAGCAUAUUGAAACAUCAUAAUGAACUACAAUUUAAAUUUGUUACUUAGUUAGUGCUUGGAAAAUCUGCAGGAAAGUUAUUGGGAUAUACUCAACAAGCAAUAAUGUUGCUGCAGACCCGGACAAAAAUGCUUGUGCUCCCUAUGCUAUUUCAAUACGUGAAAACAAGAUUUGGUUAAGUAUUCUGAAGUGUUCAUGUGUGGAAAGGAUUGAGUGCUGCGAACAAUCCCAAUGCUCUAUGGUGAAUGGAUGAUUAGAUUUUGUUGCUCUAGUCUUUACCUGAGUGUGUUUAAUUGACUUCAUAUAUUUACAGCUGAUGCAGUGUUUCCUGUAUAUACUAUG